rnacentral:rRNA from 1 species
GAUGAACGCUGGCGGCGUGCCUAAUACAUGCAAGUCGAGCGAAUGGGUUAAGAGCUUGCUCUUAUGAAGUUAGCGGCGGACGGGUGAGUAACACGUGGGUAACCUGCCCAUAAGACUGGGAUAACUCCGGGAAACCGGGGCUAAUACCGGAUAACAUUUUGAACCGCAUGGUUCGAAAUUGAAAGGCGGCUUCGGCUGUCACUUAUGGAUGGACCCGCGUCGCAUUAGCUAGUUGGUGAGGUAACGGCUCACCCAGGCAACGAUGCGUAGCCGACCGGAGAGGGUGAUCGGCCAAACUGUGACUGAGACACGGCCCAGACUCCUACGGGAGGCAGCAGUAGGGAAUCUUCCGCAAUGGACGAAAGUCUGACGGAGCAACGCCGCGUGAGUGAUGAAGGCUUUCGGGUUGUAAAACUCUGUUGUUAGGGAAGAACAAGUGCUAGUUGAAUAAGCUGGCACCUUGACGGUACCUAACCAGAAAGCCACGGCUAACUACGUGCCAGCCGCCGCGGUAA